rnacentral:lncRNA from 1 species
GUUUCAUUUGUAUGACCCGCUAUGCCAUUUAGUACUGAUUUAUUCUUGAGCUGAGACAGGUCCAGACUUUUCCAGUCUCAAAACUCCAUGAAAGUUGGAUAAAAAAUUUCAGAACAGGGAAGCAAAGGGUGUUAGAUAUUUCCAGGUGCAUAAAUUUCAUCAAGCCUACUCUAUCAUAUCAAUCUGGUACCUCAGUUUCUCCUAGCACUGGCCUUGUGGGCUCGUAUACAUUUGCAUGGUUAUUUUAAAACUAUAGAAUAUCAUGGUCUCUCAAAUUCUGACCCAAAUUUUUCAGACUUGCUGAAAAGAUGACAUGAGUCUUGAAAAUCCAUAAUCUUAGCCUGAUGUUUUAUUUUCUUUGGAAGAGCCAGGUUUAUUUCUCUCCUCACCAAUUGUUUUCUUUUACCAGGACACUCAGUAACUUGGUGAUGACUUGGCAUUCAGGUUUCAUCUUUCUAUUCCUUAACCCAGAGAAAAGCUCCUCUGAGCCAAUUUCUAGCAUCCUAUCAGAGAAAAACAACAGCAUCACAUGUGGGGUCAGGAAGAAGUUGCUAGCACUGAAAAGGAGUGCAGACCUUCACUGGACCCCCAGAAGCUGGACUAGGAUUUGGCUUGAGCCAGGACCAGGUAAGUGUUUAUUCAAUGUCAAACAGAGAUAGAGGCUACUAUUUGAGGUA